CAAACUGGUCACUUUAAGGGAAGUCAGCCAGCAGAUGAUCGAUCGACUCUCGGGUGGGCUCAAUGAAAUAGAUCACAUCAGUCAUGGGGU
rnacentral:SRP_RNA from 1 species